rnacentral:rRNA from 1 species
AUUGAACGCUGGCGGCAUACUUUACACAUGCAAGUCGAACGGCAGCACGGACUUCGGUCUGGUGACGAGUGGCGAACGGGUGAGUAAUACAUCGGAACGUGCCCAGUUGUGGGGGAUAACUACUCGAAAGAGUAGCUAAUACCGCAUGAGAACUGAGGUUGAAAGCAGGGGAUCGUAAGACCUUGCGCAACUGGAGCGGCCGAGGGCAGAUUAGGUAGUUGGUGGGAUAAAAGCUUACCAGGCCGACGAUCUGUAGCUGGUCUGAGAGGACGACCAGCCACACUGGGACUGAGACACAGCCCAGACUCCUACGGGAGGCAGCAGUGGGGAAUUUUGGACAAUGGGCGAAAGCCUGAUCCAGCAAUGCCGCGUGCAGGAUGAAGGCCUUCGGGUUGUAAACUGCUUUUGUACGGAACGAAAAGCUUCGGGUUAAUACCCUGGAGUCAUGACGGUACCGUAAGAAUAAGCACCGGCUAACUACGUGCCAGCCGCCGCCGUAA